CAAGGAGCCGAAAGGCUACUUCAAACCAUCGCGAACCCGUCCAUGUUGCUUCGGCGGAGCCGGCCCCCCCCGGGAGUGCCGCGGCGCCGCGCCUCCGGGCGCGUGGUCGCCCGCCGGAGGUCUCAAACUCUAGCGCAUUAUAGUGGCAUCUCUGAGUGAAACACAAAUAAGUCA
rnacentral:misc_RNA from 1 species